UACAGAGGGUGCAAGCGUUGUUCGGAAUUAUUGGGCGUAAAGCGCGUGUAGGCGGCUUUGCAAGUCUGGCGUGAAAGCCCCGGGCUCAGCCCGGGAAGUGCGCUCGAAACUGCACGGCUCGAGUGCCGGAGGGGAGAGUGGAAUUCCUGGUGUAGCGGUGAAAUGCGUAGAUAUCAGGAGGAAUACCGGUGGCGAAAGCGACUCUCUGGACGGCAACUGACGCUGAGGCACGAAAGCGUGGGGAGCAAACAGG
rnacentral:rRNA from 1 species